GCAACCAUAGCUCAGCUGGAAGAGCAUCUGCUUUGCAUGCAGAUGGUCUUAAGUUCAAUCCCCAGCAGCUCCA